GUGCUCGCUUCAGCAGCACAUAUACUAAAACUGGGACGAUACAGAGAAGAUUGGCAUGGCCCCUGUGCAAGGAUGACAUGCAAAUUUCUAAAGCAUCCCAUAUUUAA